rnacentral:lncRNA from 1 species
GAUUCUAUUUGCCAGGGGGGAACUUAAUUUAUUUCUCCUUAGAUUACCACAGUAGACAAUAUUAUACUUAUUAGAAAGUGCAAAAAGUUUAUUUGUUUGCUUAAUUAAGAGAAUUAAAUUUUAUGUUUGAAGCAUGCCAUUGCAUUUAGAGUGGAUGCCUACCAAUUCCUUUGUUGUUUGUGCAACAUUGAGCAAGGUGACUAAUCUCUCAGCUCUCAAUACUUUUGUUAUGGAGAUUUUACUGUAUUUUAUUUCUUAAAACAAAGCUCCUUACCAGAGUUCUUUCUGAAAGUGGAAGACAAAAUUUAACUCCUAAAAUCAUAAAAAUAAAUAAUACAUACAAGAAAGGAUCAGUGCUAACCUAAUCAGGUUAGUAUUUAUUAUUAUAGAUUGUUCAUUAGAAUCACACCAAUUUAAAACAAACAAACAAACAAACAAACACACCCCACACAAAACAAACAAACAAAAAACUUGGCCCUGAUUAGAGAAGAACUAAGCCAUAGUUUUUAUGAAGUAUGGUGUACUAUGAGGAAGACGGCCUUUUAUUGCAUACUUCAGUGAGAAUCCAUACCCUAAAGAAGACUAUUUAACAGAAUAUAAUUUAUUUGUUAUUGGUUAUUGUUACAAACUUAAUUCUCCUAUUGUGAUCUUUCUGGAACCCACAUUUUAGAUGAAGUUAUUGGUUUCCUUUCACCUACUAGUACCACUUGUCACAGUCUUAACUAUUCUAUUUCUUGAUAACUUUAGAUUGUGAUCAGAGAAUUUAGUGUGAAAGUUCAUUACUUUUUCAUCCACCUGGGGUUUGAAAGGAUGUAGAUCUAACAUAGAUCCCCCCUCUGACCCUCACUGAGACAGAGUAUGGUGACAAUAGCAACAGCCUUCUCAGUAUUGAGUAGAGAAGUUGAGGCACAUAGCACAGGUGUUGAUGCACUCAGGUCCUUGCAGGGGUUGAAGAGAAUCAGCCUCAUCACCAGAAGAGACUCUGAAAGGAAGGCAAGGAUUUUCUUUUCUAUUUCCAAGACUCGGUUUCUGAUCAUUUUAUUUUGCCUUACCAAACCAAAUAUGAUCCAACAAAAGCAACUGACUGCCCCUCUUUACAUAACAAAGUGAAGAUAAUGGGGCAGAUAGUUAGGAAGAAGAGAGCACUUACUCAACUAAGAAAAAUUAUGUAAAUAAAAAGUAUAAUUCAUUAUAAUUUUAAAACGGAAAUGAUAAUUUAUAUUAGCUGAGUAAUUUUAUUCAUUAUUUAAUGAUGAUAGUUUUGAGACCCCAGUACAUAAAAAUAAAUCAAUGCAUUUGUUAAAUAAAUCAUUUCAUAAUAAAUAACAUAUGGCAACUUGCUUGAACGUAUCUGCAGAUUUGAAUUAAUUAACAUAGUCUUAAACAUGUCUUGUAUCAAGUGCUGAUAGUCUAGUCUCUCAUAGUGUGAUGAAAUUAUUUUAUUCAUGUUUGCCCCAGGUUUCUCAUUUCUACAACACAAAUAAUUGGCAAUUUCAGCCAAGUGAGCCUUUUUGUAGAAUAAUAUUAUGGAUGAAAAAUUGGGUUGCAUUAAUUAGAAAUGAAAAUUUACUGAAUUAGUCACUUAAUCAAGAAGCAACUUAGUCCUAUUUGUUCAGGAGUUAGACCAGCAUUUCUGCAUGAGCUUCACCUGGUGUACAGGUACAUUUGAGUCUUCUGCAUAGUCAGACCAUUGGCCAUUGUAGUGCACGAUACUUUCAUAAUCACUGUAAUUAGUGAAGUGACUAUUUUCAUGAGUACACUGGGAUAUUAAACAUUGAGAAGAUUCCAUUGAAGUAAACUAUUACUGUGAGGCGUAUUGGAUUCCAUAUCAUUUUAUGGCACCAAGAAAUUAUAUGUGUGGAUGUGUAUGGAUGCUUCUGUGUACAUAAAUCAGAAUAGGCUGUAGCCAAUCAGUUUUAAGUGAUCUAAAAUAGAAUGAAUUGCCUUUACCAGCCUGGCAGUUCAUAUCUCAGUGUCUAGUAAAUGUACUUUAUCAGACAGCAUCUCCAUAACUAAUAAAAUAUGAUGAAAUAUUUAUUAUAUUAUCCACGUCUUAACGAUGUUUAACCUGCUGGAUUGUUAAAGAUAGAAUUUCUGUGACAUCAGACCUUUUGGAGUGUCACUUACCCUAUUUUAACACAUAAACAUUUGAGUGUGAAAUUUCCUCCAUAUUUCAGAGACAUCUUAUUGCUUUAUGAAAGCUAUCCCCUUGGCAGCAAACUAUCUUCUCUGUAUGCUAUGCUUUCAAUCUACAUAAACGAAACUACAAAUUCACUGGAAGUCCUGUUAAGAGCUCUUCUGAGACAACUCUGGCUUUCUGGAUAUUGCUACCCUGAGGGACUUUGCUUAAAUGACUGUGGUCCCACAUGCAGAGCAGACAAAACUGUCUAACCUGGCAAGAGAAAGCAGGAGUGAGAGCUGUACUGUAGUGUAGGUUUUACAAAUGUUUAUUUCCAACCACAGAACUGUAAUUUUAAACAAUGUUAUUUUGUUGCUUUGUUUCUCUUGUGGUAUAAUUCAGGUGUCAGCAUCAUCAUAUAUGUCUUCAGUUUCAUUUGAUAUCCAUUUAUUUUGUGUUGUCAUUUAAGGAGUAGAUUUGUAUAGAAUUAAGCGUUGUACUGCAAGUAAUAACCUGGUAAAUGAAUAGCAAGUGCUUUUGUGUUGCUGAAUUAUUAAGGAUUUUAUAUAUUUGAUUUAGUCAAGGCCCACAACAUAUUUUAUAGAUGCUUUGUAAUUGCGUGUAGUACUUUUAUAAGCCCUUAAAGGAAUACAAAUAUCCAAAAAGUAUUUUGUAAUUGCUUUUAAGUCCAUCUUUAAAAAAAAAGACACAAAAAUCUAACCUGUAAUAAUUAAUUGCAUCAACUUCUGACCAAAUAGCAAGUGUGGAUUAUUUGAGUGUUUUUUAUUUGUUUAUUUGUUUGUGUUGUACUGUAUGUGUCUGUAACAGGUAGCAUGGUUCAAACUAAGACCUCCACUGAGAAUGCAAAAUUUCACAGCCCAUAUCAGAACCUGCAUUUAACAUGAUCCAUGGGGUUACCAUCUACCCAUAAAACAAAGGAAGGACUAACAGUUUUAGCAGAGAAGAGAAUGAGAGAAUGGAAUUAUUGUGUUUUGUUUCACUAAGGCAAAUAAAACACUUGACUGUGUUAGAGUAUAGUCAGAUACCAAAGCGAUAUUUCCUAAGCUAGUCUGAGGGAUGUUCUUUAGUUUUUCUUUUACUUGGGCAUUAUCAAAUAUUUAGUUCUUAUUAUAUUUACCUUCAGCCUUCAUGUCUAACAUUUCAGUUGCCCACGCAUAAAUUUAGAAAACUAACAGAAGGUUGGGGCAAGUUUUAAUCUAGUAUAGUAGCAAACAAGCACUCAAACAUGACUGAUUAUUUUAUGUUUCAUUGCUACCCCUACCCAUGUUUAUUCAUAAUAAAUACAACAAAUCUGUAGAUAUUUUGAUUCUUAGAGAAAUGAGGUAAUGAAGCAUGUAAUAUAGAACUGAAGUCUUUACCCAGGGUAAACAUAGGUUGUGGAUGUCAAACUGUCAUGAGUAUUAGGAAACAUGCAAGCAAUGUUAUGCAAAUUGUCUCCCAGAUGCUUCCUCGUAUCAAUGUAAUAUUUUUGAUUACAUGUCUGAAUGUCUACUGGCUAGGGAUGAAAUUCU